CGGGGCGGGCGCUGCCCCCCGGCGGGAAGCGCGGACUCCGGAGGUCGGGGCGCGGCGGUGCCAGAACUAUCUGUGAGAGCUGUCCGAAGCGCUGAACACUGCCCUCUGCUAUGUACAUGUGCUCCUGCAGUCGUAGAAUCAUAGAAUCAUUAAGGUGCUUCCUCCCGGAGCCGGGGAUGCUUGGCUGGAGGAUGCCAUGCAGCGUCCGUGCUGAGAACCCCAUUUCUGUAUGGUGUCAGUGCUGGGCUUCCACCUGCAGCCCCCCAAUGACCUGUGGGGCCACAGUUCCCAUCUGCAGUGAACGCAUCCCCGUGUGCAUCCCCACACCUCCCAGCUGAUGUUUGCAGGACUGAUAUACAAUCAACCCCUGGGCCGCCUUAUGGGAGGCGAGCGGUUCGGUUCAUUUUGAUGUAAAUUACUAUGAGAACUCUGAGCAAAGGGCAAAAUUAAAGUCUCAUUUUAAUU
ensembl:lncRNA